rnacentral:rRNA from 1 species
UAACGCGGGGCAACCUGGCGACGAGUGGCGAACGGGUGAGUAAUGUAUCGGAACGUGCCCAGUUGUGGGGGAUAACUGCUCGAAAGAGCAGCUAAUACCGCAUACGACCUGAGGGUGAAAGCGGGGGAUCGCAAGACCUCGCGCAAUUGGAGCGGCCGAUAUCAGAUUAGGUAGUUGGUGGGGUAAAGGCCUACCAAGCCGACGAUCUGUAGCUGGUCUGAGAGGACGACCAGCCACACUGGGACUGAGACACGGCCCAGACUCCUACGGGAGGCAGCAGUGGGGAAUUUUGGACAAUGGGGGCAACCCUGAUCCAGCCAUGCCGCGUGCGGGAAGAAGGCCUUCGGGUUGUAAACCGCUUUUGUCAGGGAAGAAAAGACUCCUACUAAUACUGGGGGUUCAUGACGGUACCUGAAGAAUAAGCACCGGCUAANUACGUGCCAGCAGCCGCGGUAAU